GGGGUCUAAUGGUAUGAUUCUCGCUUUGGGUGUGAGAGGUCCCGAGUUCGAUUCUCGGAAUGCCCC
rfam:Lupinus angustifolius cultivar Tanjil chromosome LG08, whole genome shotgun sequence.